GUCACUAGAAAGUCGCCAUGUUGGUUUUAACGGAUUUCCAGUGGGGGGCAGCUGAUUGGGGUGUUACACGUGAAAGUUAAUCGUAGCAGGAAGUUUAAAUAGUUCGUUUCGUUCAACUUGUAUGUGCGUUUGUGUUUCUUCGACAAUAAUAGCUAUUUGCUAUUAAGUGGCGAAUCAGAUAGUGAGUGCACUGGCAAGUUCAUCCUCGAGAUUUAACCUGGUUUGUCAACAGUGAGUCUCUGAGCGGCAGUUGGAACGCGUAGUGGUUCCUGGAUGUAAAGAGCUACCAUGCCAAUAAUGUUCCGGAGCGUUCGCGCGCGUGCAAACCCUAAUUAAUAAGACGCUUUUUUAAACACCUGAAGAUCAGGACGUUCUGACGGGACCUGUGAGGGGAUUCACACCACUAACUAGGUGAUAAAGGGCAUCACGUUGCAAUAACGUAUUGUUUGGUCCCCACUGAAUCAGUUCACGCUAUGUGUCGUUUUCCUUUCGAUAUUGAUGAUAACGCAAGCAGAAAAUCUUCAGCGAAUGGCCGCGCGGUCGAGUUCACGAACAGAUUCAAAAACAAUUCAAUGGUCGAUUGAUUGUCGCCGCGGUUUCUUUACUUCUCUAUGAAGUGCGGCCAGAGAAGCCCCUUCCCACCGACUGAUUCCCCGUCGUCACCCAUCAGCAAAAGUCGAUGCUGGCUUUACACCUUCAGCGCGAAGAAACACAACAAAAAAACAAAUUUAUUUACUAUAAUGCAAAAACUAUCUGUAAUUGUAUCUGAUAUAGCCCAGUAACAGCAGGAAAGCGGCGCACCGCAAUGCGUAACCUCAAGCGCCAUUUGCGUGAGGAUGCACUACUGGCUGUUAUUAACAGACGAAUGUUCCUUCUACCUCAAGGAAUAGAUACUAAGCCCGCCGCGUCUAUGUGGCGUCAUCCAGUAAUAAAAAUGCAUCGAGGACGGAACGCGCAUUGAAGCCUAUUAGAAUUUAUUCCGCCUCUCAGAAAAACGGUCGAAGAGGAUAAUAUGU